GACGGAGGGGGCUAGCGUUGUUCGGAAUGACUGGGCGUAAAGGGCGCGUAGGCGGUUUUUUAAGUGAGGCGUGAAAGCCCUGGGCUUAACCCAGGAGGUGCGUUUCAUACUGGAAAGCUUGAGUACGAGAGAGGAAAGUGGAAUUCCUAGUGUAGAGGUGAAAUUCGUAGAUAUUAGGAAGAACACCAGUGGCGAAGGCGACUUUCUGGCUCGUAACUGACGCUGAGGCGCGAAAGCGUGGGGAGCAAAC
rnacentral:rRNA from 1 species